rnacentral:rRNA from 1 species
UGGGGAAUAUUGGACAAUGGGCGCAAGCCUGAUCCAGCAAUGCCGCGUGUGUGAAGAAGGCCUGCGGGUUGUAAAGCACUUUAAGCCGGAAAGAAGGCCGCAAGGAUAAUACCCUUGUGGAUUGACGUUACCGGCAGAAUAAGCACCGGCUAACUCCGUGCCAGCAGCCGCGGUAAUACGGAGGGUGCGAGCGUUAAUCGGAAUUACUGGGCGUAAAGCGCGCGUAGGCGGUUCGUUAAGUCCGCUGUGAAAGCCCUGGGCUUAACCUGGGAACUGCAGUGGAAACUGGCGGGCUAGAGUAUGGUAGAGGAGAGUGGAAUUUCCGGUGUAGCAGUGAAAUGCGUAGAGAUCGGAAGGAACACCAGUGGCGAAGGCGGCUCUCUGGACCAAUACUGACGCUGAGGUGCGAAAGCGUGGGGAGCAAACAGG